UGGGGAAUAUUGCACAAUGGGCGCAAGCCUGAUGCAGCCAUGCCGCGUGUAUGAAGAAGGCCUUCGGGUUGUAAAGUACUUUCAGUCGGGAGGAAGGUGGUAAGGUUAAUAACCUUAUCAAUUGACGUUACCGACAGAAGAAGCACCGGCUAACUCCGUGCCAGCAGCCGCGGUAAUACGGUGGGUGCAAGCGUUAAUCGGAAUUACUGGGCGUAAAGCGCACGCAGGCGGUUGAUUGAGUCAGAUGUGAAAUCCCCGGGCUUAACCCGGGAAUUGCAUCUGAUACUGGUCAGCUAGAGUCGUGUAGAGGGGGGUAGAAUUCCAUGUGUAGCGGUGAAAUGCGUAGAGAUGUGGAGGAAUACCGGUGGCGAAGGCGGCCCCCUGGACAAAGACUGACGCUCAGGUGCGAAAGCGUGGGGAGCAAACAGG
rnacentral:rRNA from 1 species